rnacentral:rRNA from 1 species
AUGGGCCGUGCGAGGGCCAAGGACGCCGGCUACGGGGGCGUCAAGUCGUUCCCGUCGCCGGCCUCGUCCUCGGCGUCGUCGUCCGAGUUCGAGUUCACGGUGACGCAGUCGCCGGGGUCCAAGCAGCGGUCGGCGGCGCAGCUGUGCCCCGCCGACGACCUGUUCUACAAGGGCCAGCUGCUGCCGCUGCACCUGUCGCCGCGCAUCUCCAUGGUGCGCACGCUGCUGCUCGCGUCGGCCUCCACCUCCUCCGCCUCCGCCUCCGACUCCACCUCCACCUCCAACUCCUCCCGCGACUCCAACGGCAGCACCUCCUCCUCCUUCUCCACCGACUGCGCGGCGCUCCUGCUCCCGGACUCCGCCCCCUCAUCCUCCCGCCCCAGCUCCGCCGCCGACGACGACCGCCACCCCAACCUGCUCCAGGGAACCGCCUCCUACGCCGGGCUCCCGCCGGCCAAGCGCACCGGCAAGCAGUACCUCUCGUCCUUCGCCACUCGCUUCUCCUCCGUCUUCCUCCACCGCGGCGCCGCGCCGGCCGCCAAGAAGCCGUCCAACAAGUCGCUCGCCAAGGAGGUGAUCAAGAAGUACGCCAAGAAGGUGAAGCCUCUGUACGAGAAGCUGUCCCAGAUCCCCAAGAACCAGAACAACCAGCCUCAGCCGCAGCCUCCGGCGCAGCAGCAGCAGUGUUUCAAGAAGCCGUUCAGUUUCUCGAUCCGGAAGAAGCGGGGCGACGAAGACAACGCCGCCGCGUCCGCGGCGGCGGCGGAGGCGGAGGCGAGCACCGGCAAGUACGCGCACUCAAACUCGUUCUCCGGCAACCUCCGGUUCCCGCGUCAGAAGCGGUGCGCGGCGAGCUGCCCGUCGUCGAUGCGGUCGUCGCCGAACCACUCCGGGAUGCUCUCCUUCGGCGGAGCAGGCGGAGUCGGCUUCCCCGACGUGCCGGCCGCAGCAGCGGCGGCCAUGACAAGCAGCAUUGGCAUGCGGCCCGUGUCGCUGUCGGCGGCGUCGUCGUCUUCGAUGGAGGAGCUCCAGAGCGCCAUCGAGGGCGCCAUCGCGCACUGCAAGAACACAAUGGGCGGCGUCGUGUCCCUGUGCCCGCGCAAGGUGCCGGCGUCGGCGGCGGCCGGCGAGAUCACCGCGUUCUGA